UACGUAGGGAGCAAGCGUUGUCCGGAAUCAUUGGGCGUAAAGCGCACGUAGGCGGCUCGGUAAGUCGGAUGUGAAAGCCCUCGGCUCAACCAAGGAAGUGCAUUCGAAACUGUCGGACUUGAGUACGGGAGGGGGUUGCGGAAUUCCCGGUGUAGAGGUGAAAUUCGUAGAUAUCGGGAGGAACACCAGUGGCGAAGGCGGCAACCUGGACCGAUACUGACGCUGAGGUGCGAAAGCGUGGGGAGCAAACAGG
rnacentral:rRNA from 1 species